GAUGAACGCUGGCGGCGUGCCUAAUACAUGCAAGUCGAACGAACGGACGAGAACCUUUGUCCUCUGAUGUUAGCGCCCGACGGGUGAGUAACACGUGGAUAACCUAACUAUCAGACUGGGAUAACAUCGGGAAACCAGAUCUACUACCGGAUAAUAUUUUGAACCGCAUGGUUCACGAGUGAAAGUAGGUCUUGCUGACACUAAUAGAUGGAUCCGCGGUGCAUUAGCUAGUUGUUAAGGUAAAGGCUUACCAAGCCAACGAUACAUAGCCGACCUCAGAGGGUGAUGGGCCACACCGGAACUGAGACACGGUCCAGACUCCUACGGGAGGCGGCAGGAGGGAAUCUUCCGCGAUGGGCGAAAGCCGGAAGGAGCAAACCCGCGGGAGUGAUGAAGGUCAUCGGAUCCUAGAACUCUGUUAUUGGGGAAGGGAAUAAAUGUACGUAACUGUGGGCAGCUUGACGGUACCUAAUCAGAAAGCCACGGCGAACUACGUG
rnacentral:rRNA from 1 species